GUCAUGGUUUUUGGCAAAAAAAAAAAAAGGUGAAUAAAUGGUUUGUAAAUGCAAAAGAGCUAGAGCAAAUAUUUUAUAGCCAC